ensembl:lncRNA
GUUUUCCCGCAUUAGCUUAGGUGCUAAACGGUUCAACUGCAACAGAAAUUGGCAUCCUGUCUGCAUCCUUCUUAAAGUCCUAGUGUGAAAUUGGCAAAAUAUACAGAUGUUAAGUAUACAGUUGGGUCUGGAAGUCUGAUUCCGUGAACAAGGACUGUUUUUAUUUCAUCAGUCAUUAAAAACAAAUAUAAAAUUCAGCUGGAAAUCACAGAAAACAACUCACAGCCAUAACCACAGUCCUUCAAAAGAACCCUUUCCUAUUGUAUUGCUUUUAUACUGUUUUUACAAAGUAAAGGGGGAAAAGCGAAACAAAGAAACAUCAAAACAUUGAGUUAACAGUUAACUAUUUACUAUAUCGGUAGCUCAGUAUACAUAUUACACAUAGACUGUACACACUGUGCAUAUCAGAUUAGGUAUAUAGAUCUAUUAACUGAUAAUAUAGCAAUUUCUUAAGCGCCAUCACAAGUGGAAAUUUAUUUGAGUGAUUAUCAGUACACAGUAUGUGCCUAGAUCUAACCCUUCUAUACAUAAUCCUUCUUAUAUCACAAUUACAAAUUUUGGGGGGAAAAGAACAACACUUUUUAUCCAUUUAGAGUUACAUUUAAUGUUUUGGAGCACCCAUGGACCAAGCAACUUCCUGUUCUUACGUUAUAGCAGCUAUAAACAGCUGUUUCUGCACCAGCCUCUCUUUAUUUUCCUCUUAAUAAGUCCUUAAUAAGACAAAAAAAGUAGACCGGGGUCUUCCGUCUUGUCUGCAAAGAGCCGGUGUGGCUGCAGGCUUACAUUACAGUCAAAUUGGAGGCCCACUUGAUAGUUGCUUGGAGACUAAGAUGAACUGAUUAAACAAAUGGAAUCAGACUGAAGACCCCUUAAGCAAACAGUCCUGAGUCAGAAAACUUUAAGUUUGUCAAAGUGAUGACACUGGAGACUCCUUCAUAAAUAUUAAAUAAACAUCUCCUUACCAAAAAUUAUACCAUACCAACCAUUGUAUUGUAUGCCUUUGCUAUGUCUUUGUUAAAAAACAAACAAAAACGUUUUUCAAUUCGAUUUAGUUUUUAGACUCGGAGUCUGUGGAGCAUCUGCCGUAUACCGUAAGACCCUGUGAAUAAGCUAUUACUAUAGAAACCAUAACGUAUUAGAACGAGUGCAUUCAUAUAAACCAGAGCUGCUGUUAUAGUAAAUGAAUGAACAUUUUCUGACCAAUGAGAAUCGAGCAUUCAACAGCGCUUUGGUAUAACUGUUAAAUAACUGAUGAAAUAAAAACAUGCUUUUGGACCUGACUGUGUGUGUAAUAAAAGUCACUGAGAUAUUAUGGUUAAGUUUUUGUUUUUUUUCAGUGUGUAUUAGCUUUUGGUAUUGAUCUAAUGUCUUAUUCAAUACAGAGUUAUAGAACAGUAAGUUUAAAGGUUGGCAUGUUGACUAAGUAUAACUAUUUUUAUUAUUUUAAUUAAUCGAGCCACGUUUGUGUCCUCUGCUCAUGAAAAGAAAUUAUCAUUUAUACACAAAGAAAAGCUGACAGGUAAAUAUAUGGGAGAAUAAAUAAAUAAAUAAUAGUGUCAGUGACAUUCGCUGAAGUCAACGAGUUCCCGCCCAACGUGGCCAAAUAAUCUAAUGUAAAUAAUGAAUCAAAAUAAUCUUCAUACAGUACUUUUACCUCAAAAACCUAUAUCUUUUUUAUAGAUAAUAGCUUUAUUUCUAUAGCACUUCAUGUAUUUUUAAUCAGCAUUCUCGUCGAGGUGCUCUGGACGCGCCAUCAGGAAUACAGGUUGAAUUUGUAAUAUACACAAGGCAAGUGUCAAGCGUAUGUUCAUAAAGAAAUAAUGGGUUCAGCAAUUCUUUUGUAGAAAUCCAUUUGAAGAAAGCAGAUGCUUUUCUUUAGAUACUGGUGCCCCCAAUUCCCCACACCCCCAGCCUGGCUCUACCCAGAAUGCAUUGCUGAUGCCCUGGAUAGCAGUAUUCGGGAUCAUGGAUUUCUGUAUGUGAUUUCAUGUAUGUUUUAAAUAAAGUUAAUAGACAUCUUCUUUUUGAUGUU